rnacentral:rRNA from 1 species
UACGAAGGGGGCUAGCGUUGUUCGGAAUUACUGGGCGUAAAGCGCGUGCAGGCGGCUAUCCAAGUCAGUGGUGAAAGCCCGGAGCUCAACUCCGGAACUGCCAUUGAAACUGUUUAGCUUGAGUAUGAGAGAGGUGAGUGGAAUUCCCAGUGUAGAGGUGAAAUUCGUAGAUAUUGGGAAGAACACCGGUGGCGAAGGCGGCUCACUGGCUCAUUACUGACGCUCAGGCGCGACAGCGUGGGGAUCAAACAGG